GAUGAACGCUGGCGGCGUGCCUAAUACAUGCAAGUCGAGCGAACGGACGAGAAGCUUGCUUUUCUGAUGUUAGCGGCGGACGGGUGAGUAACACGUGGAUAACCUACCUAUAAGACUGGGAUAACUUCGGGAACCCGGAGCUAAUACCGGAUAAUAUUUUGAACCGCAUGGUUCAAAAGUGAAAGACGGUCUUGCUGUCACUUAUAGAUGGAUCCGCGCUGCAUUAGCUAGUUGGUAAGGUAACGGCUUACCAAGGCAACGAUGCAUAGCCGACCUGAGAGGAUGAGCAGGAAAAGGGGGAAGGAGACAAGGGGCAGAAGCGUAAGGGAGGCAGAAGUGGGGAAUAUUGGAGAAUGGGAGAAAGAAUGAUAGAGCAAUGACGAGGGAAGGAGGAAGGUAUUAGGAUGGGAAAAAAUUGUGAGUAGGAAGGAAAAGAAGUAAGAGAAUACAGGAGUGGCAGGACGGGACCGAAAGAAUAAGAAAAGGCUAAAUAGGUG
rnacentral:rRNA from 1 species